GCGCCCGUAGCUCAAUUGGAUAGAGCGUCUGACUACGGAUCAGAAGGUUGGGGAUUCGAGUUCUCCCGGGCGCGCCA
rnacentral:tRNA from 2 species